UGAGCUUGAUCCUGGCUCAGGAUGAACGCUAGCGGCAGGCUUAACACAUGCAAGUCGAGGGGUAUAAGUCUUCGGAUUUAGAGACCGGCGCACGGGUGCGUAACGCGUAUGCAAUCUACCUUUUACAGAGGGAUAGCCCAGAGAAAUUUGGAUUAAUACCUCAUAGCAUUGCAGAAUGGCAUCAUUCAGCAAUUAAAGUCACAACGGUAAAAGAUGAGCAUGCGUCCCAUUAGCUAGUUGGUAAGGUAACGGCUUACCAAGGCUACGAUGGGUAGGGGUCCUGAGAGGGAGAUCCCCCACACUGGUACUGAGACACGGACCAGACUCCUACGGGAGGCAGCAGUGAGGAAUAUUGGACAAUGGGCGCAAGCCUGAUCCAUGCCAUGCCGCGUGCAGGAUGACGGUCCUAUGGAUUGUAAACUGCUUUUAUACGAGAAGAAACACUGCUUCGUGAAGCAGCUGACGG
rnacentral:rRNA from 1 species